rnacentral:rRNA from 1 species
AUUGAACGCUGGCGGCAGGCCUAACACAUGCAAGUCGAGCGAGCGGCGGACGGGUGAGUAAUGUAUGGGGACUGCCCGAUAGAGGGGGAUCACUACUGGAAACGGUGGCUAAUACAGCAUACUGUCGGAUAACCCAUAUGGGAUUAGUUAGUAGGUAAGGUAAGGGCUUUCCUAGGCGACGAUCCCUUGCUGGUCUGGUAGGAUGAUCAGCCACACUGGGACUGAGACACGGCCCAGACUCCUACGGAGGAAGCAGUGGGGAAUAUUGCACAAUGGGCGCAAGCCUGAUGCAGCCAUGCCGCGUGUAUGAAGAAGGCCCUAGGGUUGUAAAGUACUUUCAGUCGGGAGGCGUUACCGACAGAAGAAGCACCGGCUAACUCCGUGCCAGCCGCCGCGGUAAUUC